rnacentral:rRNA from 1 species
UUGAAUUGAAGAGUUUGAUCAUGGCUCAGAUNNNNNNNNNNAUUGAACGCUGGCGGCAGGCUUAACACAUGCAAGUCGAACGGUAACAUAAAGAAGCUUGCUUCUUUGAUGACGAGUGGCGGACGGGUGAGUAAUGCUUGGGAAUCUAGCUUAUGGAGGGGGAUAACUACGGGAAACUGUAGCUAAUACCGCGUAAUAUCGAAAGAUUAAAGUGUGGGACCUUCGGGCCACAUGCCAUAGGAUGAGCCCAAGUGGGAUUAGGUAGUUGGUGAUGUAAAGG